rnacentral:hammerhead_ribozyme from 1 species
AUGAAGCUGACGAGUCUCAAAUAGGACGAAACGCGCGUCCUGGAU